AGCAGCCGCGGUAAUUCCAGCUCCAAUAGCGUAUAUUAAAGUUGUUGCAGUUAAAAAGCUCGUAGUUGAAUUUCGGGGUUCUACCGUUGGUCGGGCUAACCAGUCUGUACUAGCGUGUAGAAUUCCUACCUUCUGGAGAACCAUCAUGUUAUUAAUUUAGCGUGGUGGGAAACCAGGACCUUUACCUUGAAAAAAUUAGAGUGUUCAAAGCAGGCUUACGUCUGAAUACAUUAGCAUGGAAUAAUAAAAUAGGACGGUGGUCCUGUUUUGUUGGUUUCUGAAUCACCGUAAUGAUUAAUAGGGAUAGUUGGGGGCAUUAGUAUUCAAUUGUCAGAGGUGAAAUUCUUGGAUUUAUUGAAGACUAACUUCUGCGAAAGCAUUUGCCAAGGAUGUUUUCAUUAAUCAAGAACGAAAGUUAGGGGAUCGAAGACGAUCAGAUACCGUCGUAGUCUUAACCAUAAACUAUGCCGACUAGGGAUCGGACGAUGUUAAAUUUUAUUGACUCGUUCGGCGCCUUACG
rnacentral:rRNA from 1 species